rnacentral:misc_RNA from 1 species
GAAAUGCGAUAAGUAAUGUGAAUUGCAGAAUUCAGUGAAUCAUCGAAUCUUUGAACGCACAUUGCGCCCGCCAGUAUUCUGGCGGGCAUGCCUGUCCGAGCGUCAUUUCAACCAUCAAGCCCCCGGGCUUGUGUUGGGGACCUGCGGCUGCCCGCAGGCCCUGAAAACCAGUGGCGGGCUCGCUGUCACACCGAGCGUAGUAGCAAUCACAUCGCUCAGGGCGUGCUGCGGGUUCCGGCCGUUAAACAGCCUUACAAAACCCAAGGUUGACCUCGGAUCAGGUAGGAAGACCCGCUGAACUUAAGC